rnacentral:rRNA from 1 species
UACGUAGGGGGCAAGCGUUGUCCGGAUUUAUUGGGCGUAAAGAGCGUGUAGGCGGCCAGGUAGGUCUGCUGUGAAAACUCGAGGCUCAACCUCGAGAUGUCGGCGGAAACCAUCUGGCUAGAGUCCGGAAGAGGAGAAUGGAAUUCCCGGUGUAGCGGUGAAAUGCGCAGAUAUCGGGAAGAACACCCGUGGCGAAGGCGGUUCUCUGGACCUGUCCUGACGCUGAGGCGCGAAAGCUAGGGGAGCGAACAGG